rnacentral:misc_RNA from 1 species
AUUUGCGUGCUUGUUAUAACAAACACAAUUUUUUACUUUAUUAAGUGGUUCCCAACAUUUUGUGUCAUUCUGGAUGUGGGCAUGGAGCACUGCUCCCCAUCCAUUUAAUGAGUAAUGUAGUUGAUAUUCUGAAAAUCUAUCUGUUCUUAGCAUCCUUAUUUGUUGCGGAGUAUAAAUGCAAUCUACUAUGCAUCACAUUUAUAAGUAUAGAUUUGACCUUAGUGAC